rnacentral:sRNA from 1 species
CUUGGUCAUUUAGAGGAAGUAAAAGUCGUAACAAGGUUUCCGUAGGUGAACCUGCGGAAGGAUCAUUAUCAAAACAGCGGACUUCGGUCCUUGCUGCACCCUUGUCUUUUGCGUACCGUAUGUUUCCUCGGCGGGCUUGCCUGCCGGUUGGACAAUAUCAAACCUUUUUGUAGUUGCAAUCAGCGUCAGAAAACAAAUAAUAAUUACAACUUUCAGCAACGGAUCUCUUGGCUCUCGCAUCGAUGAAGAACGCAGCGAAAUGCGAUAAGUAAUGUGAAUUGCAGAAUUCAGUGAAUCAUCGAAUCUUUGAACGCACCUUGCGCUCGUUGGUAUUCCGACGAGCAUGCCUGUUUGAGUGUCAUUAAAUUCUCAACCUCAUCGCUUUUGUGAUGAUGGCUUGGAAGUGGAGGUUUUUUGCAGGCUGAAAAGUCUGCUCCUCUCAAAUGAAUUAGUGGGUGCCCCGCGCAAACCUAUCUAUUGGUGUGAUAAUUAUCUACGCCGUGGAUCCUUAGGAUUGCUGUAAAAAGGUGUUUGCCCUGCUUCUAACCGUCUUCGGACAACUUGAACCAUUUGACCUCAAAUCAGGUAGGACUACCCGCUGAACUUAAGCAUAUCAAUAAGCGGAGGAAAAGAAACUAACAAGGAUUCCCCUAGUAACUGCGAGUGAAGCGGGAAAAGCUCAAAUUUAAAAUCUGGCAGUCUUUGAUUGUCCGAGUUGUAAUCUAGAGAAGCAUUAUCCGCGCUGGACCGUGUACAAGUCUCCUGGAAUGGAGCGUCAUAGAGGGUGAGAAUCCCGUCUUUGACACGGACUGCCAGGGCUUUGUGAUGUGCUCUCAAAGAGUCGAGUUGUUUGGGAAU